rnacentral:rRNA from 1 species
AUUGAACGCUGGCGGCAGGCCUAACACAUGCAAGGCGAACGGUAGCACAGAGAGCUUGCUCUUGGGUGACGAGUGGCGGACGGGUGAGUAAUGUCUGGGAAACUGCCCGAUGGAGGGGGAUAACUACUGGAAACGGUAGCUAAUACCGCAUAACGCCUUCGGACACAAGAGGGGGACCUUAGGGCCUCUUGCCAUCGGAUGUGCCCAUAUGGGAUUAGCUAGUAGGUGGGGUAAUGGUUCACCUAGGCGACGAUCCAUAGCUGGUCUGAGAGGAUGACCAGCCACACUGGAACUGAGACACGGUCCAAACUCCUACGGGAGGCAGCAGUGGGGAAUAUUGCACAAUGGGCGCAAGCCUGAUGCAGCCAUGCCGCGUGUAUGAAGAAGGCCUUCGGGUUGUAAAGUACUUUCGGCGAGGAGGAAGGCAUUGUGGUUAAUAACCACAGUGAUUGACGUUACUCGCAGAAGAAGCACCGGCUAACUCCGUGCCAGCAGCCGCCGCCGUAA